rnacentral:rRNA from 1 species
GAUGAACGCUAGCGGCAGGCCUAAUACAUGCAAGUCGGACGGGAUCCGUCGGAGGGCUGGCUCGAAGACGGUGAGAGUGGCGCACGGGUGCGUAACGCGUGAGCAACCUACCUCUAUCAGGGGGAUAGCCUCUCUAAGGAGAGAUUAACACCGCAUAAUAUAUGCGACGGGCAUCGGUUGGACAUUCAAUAUUUAUAGGAUCGAGUUGGGCUCGCGUGACAGUAGCUAGUUGGUCGGGUAACGGCUUACCAAGGCGACGAUGUUCAGGGGAUCUGACAGGAGAAUCCCCCACACUGGUACUGAGACCCGGACCAGACUCCUACGGGAGGCAGCAGUAAGGAAUAUUGGUCAAUGGGCGGAAGCCUGAACCAGCCAUGCCGCGUGCAGGAUGACUGCCCUAUGGGUUGUAAACUGCUUUUGUCCAGGAAUAAACCUUUCUACGUGUAGGGAGCUGAAUGUACUGGAAGAAUAAGGAUCGGCUAACUCCGUGCCAGCAGCCGCCGUAA